rnacentral:tRNA from 1 species
GAGGAUAUAGCUCAGUUGGUAGACCACUUGCCUCGCAUGCAUAAGGCCCUGGGUUCAAUCCCCAGUACCACA